rnacentral:rRNA from 1 species
UACCUGGCGACAGGAUGCCAAUCCCCAAAACCUCUCUCAGUUCGGAUCGAAGUCUGCAACCCGACUUCGUGAAGCUGGAUUCGCUAGUAAUCGCGCAUCAGCCAUGGCGCGGUGAAUACGUUCCCGGGCCUUGUACACACCGCCCGUCAAGCCAUGAAAGCCGGGGGUACCUGAAGUACGUAACCGCAAGGAUCGUCCUAGGGUAAAACUGGUAAUUGGGGCUAAGUCGUAACAAGGUAUC